GUUGAUAUACAGUUAUAUCAACACGAGUGGAAAUUGGGAAAACGAGAAAUUGUGUGGAAACACGACGCCCGAAGGGCGUUCGAAGGGCGGAGUGUUUUCACACAAUAUCGAGUUUUCCCAAUUUCGACGAAUGUUGAUAUAACUCUAUAUCAAUACGGAAAAAUGUUUUAUAUUUGUUUUAUAAUAUAGGACAAAGAAACAUAAAGAAAGAAAUUUUCCGACGUUUCUGUGUUGACAUUGAGUUAUAUCAACACGGCUCUUAGCCAAUCAGCGUUCAGAAUUUACAAAUGCUAUAUUAUAAUAUUAAAUAUUAUCUUUCAUUUUUACAAAACAUGGCUGGAAAAAUGUCAAUGAAAAAAUACAAUAUGUAUUAAAUACAAGGUUCCAGAGAAUAUAUAUUUGGAUUUAAUUAAUUUAAUCACGGUUAAUUUAUCACGGUUUUAUGAGAGACAAAUAAAAGAUAUCAUUAAUAUUUUAUAAACUAGGGUACCUGCAAGAUAGGGAUUGCUGCGGGCAUUAAGAACAAAUAAAACUAAAUA